rnacentral:rRNA from 1 species
GACGAACGCUGGCGGCGUGCCUAAUACAUGCAAGUAGAACGCUGAAGGAGGAGCUUGCUUCUCUGGAUGAGUUGCGAACGGGUGAGUAACGCGUAGGUAACCUGCCUGGUAGCGGGGGAUAACUAUUGGAAACGAUAGCUAAUACCGCAUAAGAGUAGAUGUCGCAUGACAUUUGCUUAAAAGGUGCAAUUGCAUCACUACCAGAUGGACCUGCGUUGUAUUAGCUAGUUGGUGAGGUAACGGCUCACCAAGGCAACGAUACAUAGCCGACCUGAGAGGGUGAACGGCCACACUGGGACUGAGACACGGCCCAGACUCCUACGGGAGGCAGCAGUAGGGAAUUUUCGGCAAUGGACGGAAGUCUGACCGAGCAACGCCGCGGGAGUGAAGAAGGUUUUCGGAUCGUAAAGCUCUGUUGUAAGAGAAGAACGAGUGUGAGAGUGGAAAGUUCACACUGUGACGGUAUCUUACCAGAAAGGGACGGCUAACUACGUG